ACGCGUUGUUAGCAAUUAUACAGCGAAACUGCGAAUGGCUCAUUAUAUAAGUUAUCGUUUAUUUGAUAGUACCUUACUACUUGGAUAACCGUGGUAAUUCUAGAGCUAAUACAUGCUAAAAGUCCCGUAUGGGAUGUAUUUAUUAUAUUAAAAACCAAUGCCCUUCUGGGCUCACUGGUGAUUCAUAAUAACUUCUCGAAUCCCAUGGCCUUGCGCCGGCGAUGGUUCAUUCAAAUUUCUUCCCUAUCAACUUUCGAUGCUAAAGUAGUGUUCUAGCAUGGUUACGACGGGUAACGGAGGGUUAGGGCUCGACCCCGGAGAAGGAGCCUGAGAAACGGAUACUACAUCCAAGGAAGGCAACAGGCGCGCAAAUUACCCAAUCCCGACUCGGGGAGGUAGAGACGAUGAAUACUGAUACAGGGCUCUUUUGGGUCUUGUAAUUGGAAUGAGUACGAUUUAAAUCCCUUAACGAGGAACAAUUGGAGGGCAAGUCUGGUGCCAGCAGCCGCGGUAAUUCCAGCUCCAAUAGCGUAUAUUAAAGUUGUUGUGGUUAAGAAGCUCGUAGUAGAACCUUGGGCCUGGCUGACCGGUCCGCCUCACCGCGUGCACUGGUUCGGCCGGGCCUUUCCCUCUGUGGAAGCGCAUGCCCUUCACUGGGUGUGGCGGGGAAACAGGACUUUUACUUUGAAAAAUUAAAGUGCUCCAGGCAGGCCUAUGCUCGAAUACAUUAGCAUGGAAUAUAGAAUAGGACGUGUGGGUCUAUUUUGAUGGUUUCUAGGACCGCCGUAAUGAUUAUAGGGACAGUCAGGGGCAUCAGUAUUCAAUUGUCAUAGGGGAAGUCUUGGAUUUAUUGAAAACAACUACUGCGAAAGCAUUUGCCAAGGAGGUUUCUUUUUC
rnacentral:rRNA from 1 species